UGGGGAAUAUUGCGCAAUGGGCGAAAGCCUGACGCAGCGACGCCGCGUGAGGGAUGAAGGUCUUCGGAUUGUAAACCUCUUUCAGCAGGGACGAAGCGAAAGUGACGGUACCUGCAGAAGAAGCACCGGCUAACUACGUGCCAGCAGCCGCGGUAAUACGUAGGGUGCAAGCGUUGUCCGGAUUUAUUGGGCGUAAAGAGCUCGUAGGCGGUUAGACACGUCGGAUGUGAAAACUCGGGGCUCAACCCCGAGCCUGCAUUCGAUACGGUCUGACUUGAGUGUGGUAGGGGUAACUGGAAUUCCUGGUGUAGCGGUGAAAUGCGCAGAUAUCAGGAGGAACACCGAUGGCGAAGGCAGGUUACUGGGCCACCACUGACGCUGAGGAGCGAAAGCGUGGGGAGCAAACAGGAUUAGAUACCCUGGUAGUCCACGCCGUAAACGGUGGGCGCUAGAUGUGGGGACCAUUCCAUGGUCUCUGUGUCGCAGCUAACGCAUUAAGCGCCCCGCCUGGGGAGUACGGCCGCAAGGCUA
rnacentral:rRNA from 1 species